AAAUUCAUAUCUCUUUCAGUAUUUGUCCAAAAAUUAAUGGACCAAUUGCAUUAUUUCUCUUUUAAUUUCUAGUUUCUAAAAAUGAUUUUUAAUAUUUUUUAUUUUAUCAUUUGCUAUUUUUUAGUAAUUUUCUCUUUUCUGGUUAUUUUUAAUUCAUUUUAAAUAGUUUUUGAUAUUCAAAAAAAUACAAAAAUAUUUUCUCAACCUCUUUGAAUGAUG
rnacentral:lncRNA from 1 species